rnacentral:lncRNA from 10 species
GAAAUGUUACAUUUUCACUGCAGGCCUUGAAUCCUUAGCCACCAGCUCCGUGUCCUUCAGUGUUCUGUGGUUCCUGGUUCCAGAGAGAUCACCUGCUCCAAUGUAACGAGUGAAGAGUUCUUUAGGAUGAUAUUGAUGAUGAAAUGUCUUACGAUGAUCAUUUAGAGGUUUAUUUUGAACAACUGGCAAUUCCAGGAAUGAUGGAAUAAAGCAUACGAAGUAGAAGGACUGGAACCUCCAGAAAAAGUACUUUAAGUUACCUACAGGUGAUCCUAGUCAGGUAUGAAUUGAUAAGAAAUGCCUGCACCUUCCCUCCUUCCUAUCUUUCCCUUGCCUACAGAAAAUUAAAAGGCAAAACAAUAGACAUCUGCAUAUUCUUCAUUCAGAUCAACCAGUGGCUAGCAUUUGCCACCUUUUGCAGUUUCUUUCUCUUUCCAUAAGUACUUUCUUCUCUGAAUCAUUUGAAAGCAAAUGAAAACAGUAGCCUAAAGUGUCAGUUUCAACCAGAAAAUAACAGCUCUGAUUUCUCAUGGCUCAUACUCGUCUGAAACGACUCAGGUAGAGGCUGAGGAAGGCCGUGUUGUUUGUCUACCUGGG